GAUGAACGCUGGCGGCGUGCCUAAUACAUGCAAGUCGAGCGAACGGACGAGAAGCUUGCUUCUCUGAUGUUAGCGGCGGACGGGUGAGUAACACGUGGAUAACCUACCUAUAAGACUGGGAUAACUUCGGGAAACCGGAGCUAAUACCGGAUAAUAUUUUGAACCGCAUGGUUCAACAGUGAAAGACGGUCUUGCUGUCACUUAUAGAUGGAUCCGCGCUGCAUUAGCUAGUUGGUAAGGUAACGGCUUACCAAGGCAACGAUGCAUAGCCGACGUGAGAGGGUGAUCGGCCACACGGGAACUGAGACACGGUCCAGACUCAUACGGGAGGGAGCAGUAGGGAAGCUGCCGCAAUGGGCGAAAGCCUGACGGAGCAACGCCGCGGGAGUGAUGAAGGUCUUCGGAUCGGAAAACUCUGUUAUUAGGGAAGAACAGAUGUGUAAGUAACUGUGCACAUCGUGACGGUACCUAAUCAGAAAGCCACGGCUAACUACGUG
rnacentral:rRNA from 1 species